rnacentral:rRNA from 1 species
AGUGAACGCUGGCGGUAGGCCUAACACAUGCAAGUCGAACGGCAGCACAGUAAGAGCUUGCUCUUACGGGUGGCGAGUGGCGGACGGGUGAGGAAUACAUCGGAAUCUACUUUUUCGUGGGGGAUAACGUAGGGAAACUUACGCUAAUACCGCAUACGACCCACGGGUGAAAGCAGGGGAUCUUCGGACCUUGCGCGAUUGAAUGAGCCGAUGUCGGAUUAGCUAGUUGGCGGGGUAAAGGCCCACCAAGGCGACGAUCCGUAGCUGGUCUGAGAGGAUGAUCAGCCACACUGGAACUGAGACACGGUCCAGACUCCUACGGGAGGCAGCAGUGGGGAAUAUUGGACAAUGGGCGCAAGCCUGAUCCAGCCAUACCGCGUGGGUGAAGAAGGCCUUCGGGUUGUAAAGCCCUUUUGUUGGGAAAGAAAAGCAGCAGGUUAAUACCCCGCUGUUCGGACGGUACCCAAAGAAUAAGCACCGGCUAACUUCGU